GGGGGGUUUCCAACUGAAAAUUAUCUAUACACAAUUUCUAGACAAAAUUUGAAUAUAUAAAAAUUUGAUACUCUUCAAAAUGUGUGGAACAAAA